GAUGAACGCUGGCGGCGUGCCUAAUACAUGCAAGUCGAGCGAACAGACGAGGAGCUUGCUCCUCUGACGUUAGCGGCGGACGGGUGAGUAACACGUGGAUAACCUACCUAUAAGACUGGGAUAACUUCGGGAAACCGGAGCUAAUACCGGAUAAUAUAUUGAACCGCAUGGUUCAAUAGUGAAAGACGGUUUUGCUGUCACUUAUAGAUGGAUCCGCGCCGCAUUAGCUAGUUGGUAAGGUAACGGCUUACCAAGGCGACGAUGCGUAGCCGACCUGAGAGGGUGAUCGGCCACACUGGAACUGAGACACGGUCCCGACUCCUACGGGAGGCAGCAGUAGGGAAUCUUCCGCAAUGGGCGAAAGCCUGACGGAGCAACGCCGCGUGAGUGCUGAAGGUCUUCGGAUCGUAAAACUCUGUUAUUAGGGAAGAACAAAUGUGUAAGUAACUAUGCACGUCUUGACGGUACCUAAUCAGAAAGCCACGGCUAACUACGUG
rnacentral:rRNA from 1 species